CCUACGGGGGGCUGCAGUGGGGAAUAUUGGACAAUGGGGGGAACCCUGAUCCAGCCAUGCCGCGUGUGUGAAGAAGGCCCUCGGGUUGUAAAGCACUUUCAGUGAGGAAGAACGCCUGGUGGUUAAUACCCAUCAGGAAAGACAUCACUCACAGAAGAAGCACCGGCUAACUCCGUGCCAGCAGCCGCGGUAAUACGGAGGGUGCGAGCGUUAAUCGGAAUUACUGGGCGUAAAGCGCGCGUAGGUGGCUUGAUAAGCCGGUUGUGAAAGCCCCGGGCUCAACCUGGGAACGGCAUCCGGAACUGUCAAGCUAGAGUGCAGGAGAGGAAGGUAGAAUUCCCGGUGUAGCGGUGAAAUGCGUAGAGAUCGGGAGGAAUACCAGUGGCGAAGGCGGCCUUCUGAACUGACACUGACACUGAGGUGCGAAAGCGUGGGUAGCGAACAGGAUUAGAUACCCCAGUAGUC
rnacentral:rRNA from 1 species